UACUCCCACUCUUUUAUUCUUGCUUGGGUUGGGGAUGUUGUUCUACCACUUGACAGUUAAGAAAUCAGAGCAGUUAAAUCCUGGCCGUUGAUAUCGCUUUCUAAAAAAAAAAACCACUUCAGCUUUGAGUGAGCAUAGUGGAGACUGGAGAGUAUAAUAGUUUUUUAUAAUUUGAGCAAAGCUAGCUAGCUCUGUGAAAAACCAAAGAGAAUGGAGAAUUACCUGAAUGAGAAUUUCGGAGAGGUGAAAGCCAAGAAUUCAUCGGAGGAAGCGCUUCAGAGAUGGAGGAAGCUUUGCUGGCUUGUUAAGAACCGCAAGAGGAGGUUUCGGUUCACUGCCAACCUCUCUAAGCGAUUCGAAGCUGAGGCUAUCAGACGCUCCAAUCAGGAGAAAUUCAGAGUUGCAGUGUUGGUAUCGCAAGCUGCUCUUCAGUUUAUCCAUGGUUUAAGUUUGUCAAGUGAGUACACUGUACCAGAGGAAGUUAAAGCUGCAGGUUUUGAAAUCUGCGCCGAUGAGCUAGGAUCAAUUGUAGAAGGACGCGAUGUGAAGAAAUUGAAAAUUCAUGGUGGGGUUGAAGGAAUUGCUAACAAACUCGAUACCUCUGUCAAUGAUGGCAUAUCAACAUCUGAGCACAUUCUGCAAAAGAGGAAAGAUAUUUAUGGAAUUAAUAAAUUCACGGAAAGCCCACCCCAGGGAUUUUGGGUUUAUGUAUGGGAAGCCCUUCAAGAUACAACUCUUAUGAUACUUGCUGUAUGUGCUUUGGUCUCUUUGGUGGUUGGAAUAGUCAUGGAAGGAUGGCCCAAGGGUGCACAUGAUGGACUUGGUAUUGUUGCAAGCAUAUUGCUUGUGGUGUUUGUUACUGCCACUAGUGAUUACAGACAAUCCUUGCAGUUUAAGGAUCUAGAUAAAGAGAAGAAAAAAAUUGUGGUGCAGGUCACCCGAAAUGGUUGUAGACAGAAGCUUUCAAUAUAUGAUUUACUUCCUGGGGAUAUUGUACAUCUUAAUAUUGGAGACCAGGUCCCUGCUGAUGGGCUUUUUGUCUCUGGUUUCUCUCUGUUAAUAAAUGAAUCAAGUUUGACUGGAGAGAGUGAACCAGUGAAUGUCAGUAACCUAAAUCCUUUUCUUCUCUCAGGAACCAAAGUUCAGGAUGGAUCGUGCAAGAUGCUUGUGACAACUGUUGGAAUGAGAACCCAGUGGGGUAAACUAAUGGCUACUCUAAGUGAAGGGGGAGAUGAUGAAACUCCACUGCAGGUUAAACUCAAUGGUGUAGCUACUAUUAUUGGGAAAAUUGGCCUUUUUUUUGCUGUUGUGACUUUUUCUGUGUUGGUCCAAGGACUGUUCAGCCGCAAGCUGCAAGAAGGAUCCCAGUGGACAUGGUCUGGUGAUGAUGCCAUGAAAAUUGUGGAGUUCUUUGCUAUUGCAGUUACUAUUGUUGUCGUUGCUGUCCCAGAGGGUUUACCUUUGGCUGUUACAUUGAGUCUUGCUUUUGCCAUGAAAAAGAUGAUGAAUGAUAAGGCACUUGUUCGUAAUUUGGCUGCUUGUGAGACAAUGGGCUCUGCCACUACUAUCUGCAGUGACAAGACUGGCACACUAACUACUAACCAUAUGACUGUUGUAAAAGCUUGCAUAUGUGGGAAGAUUAAAGAAGUAAAGGGCUCUAAAGUGCCUUCUGAUUUCUCAUCUGAUAUUCCUGAUUCUGCUGUGGCAAUUUUACUUCAAUCAAUAUUUAACAACACUGGGGGAGAAGUUGUAAAAAACAUGGAUGAGAAGGUUGAGAUUCUGGGAUCACCGACAGAGACUGCACUCUUGGAAUUUGGGCUGUCACUUGGAGGUGAUUUCCACAAGGAGCGACAAGCAGGGAAACUUGUGAAAAUUGAACCAUUUAACUCUCUAAAGAAGCGCAUGGGAGUGGUUCUACAGCUUCCUGAAGGUAGCUUCAGAACACAUUGCAAAGGUGCCUCUGAAAUAAUUCUAGCUGCAUGUGAAAAGGUUGUGAACUCAAAUGGUGAGGUUGUUCCCCUUGAAGAAGACUCUAUCAAUUACUUGAAGGAUACGAUCGAAAAAUUUGCUGAUGAAGCUCUCCGGACCCUUUGCCUUGCAUAUGUGGAUAUUGAUGAUCAUUUUUCAGUUGAGACUCCUAUCCCCAAUCGAGGUUACACAUGUAUAGGAAUUGUGGGUAUUAAAGAUCCUGUUCGCCCUGGAGUUCGAGAGUCUGUUGCCAUUUGUAGGUCAGCUGGUGUUACUGUUAGGAUGGUUACUGGAGACAACAUAAACACUGCAAAGGCUAUUGCUAGAGAAUGUGGAAUUUUAACGGAUGGAAUUGCAAUUGAAGGCCCUGAGUUCCGUGAAAAGAGUGAGGAAGAAUUGCUUAAAAUAAUUCCAAAACUUCAGGUGAUGGCUCGAUCUUCUCCCAUGGAUAAGCAUACCCUGGUGAAACAAUUGAGGACAACAUUUGAAGAGGUUGUUUCAGUUACCGGUGAUGGUACAAAUGAUGCGCCUGCACUUCAUGAAGCAGAUAUUGGGCUUGCAAUGGGCAUUUCUGGAACUGAGGUGGCAAAAGAAAGCGCUGAUGUCAUAAUACUGGAUGAUAAUUUUUCAACUAUUGUGACUGUGGCCAAAUGGGGCCGAUCUGUCUACAUAAACAUACAGAAAUUUGUGCAGUUCCAGCUAACUGUAAACAUUGUUGCUUUGAUUGUCAACUUCUCGUCUGCCUGUUUGACUGGAAAUGCUCCCCUCACUGCUGUUCAACUUCUAUGGGUCAACAUGAUUAUGGACACUCUUGGAGCACUUGCUCUAGCCACUGAACCUCCUACUGAUGAUUUGAUGAAAAGACCACCUGUCGGUAGGAAAGGAAACUUUAUCAGUAAUGUGAUGUGGAGGAAUAUCUUGGGGCAGUCUCUAUAUCAGUUUGUUGUACUUUGGUUCCUCCAGACAAGAGGAAAAGCAGCUUUUCAUCUUGAUGGACCAGAUUCAGAAUUGAUAUUGAAUACACUCAUUUUCAACUCAUUUGUGUUCUGUCAGGUUUUCAAUGAGAUCAGUUCCAGAGAUAUGGAGAAGAUUAAUGUUUUUGAAGGUAUAUUGAAGAAUUAUGUGUUUGUAGCGGUCCUCACUUGCACUGUCAUCUUCCAAAUCAUAAUUGUCGAAUUUUUGGGCACCUUUGCAAACACCUCCCCACUUACCUUGAAGCAGUGGUUUGGUAGUGUUUUCUUUGGAGUCCUUGGAAUGCCAAUUGCAGCAGCUUUAAAAAUGAUACCUGUGGGAUCUACCUAAAGUCGAUGCAGACAGAUUAGGUACAUUCUUCCUCAUUCUGUGUUCUCAAACGUAUACCAAGGAUCUUGUUUGCAUAUUGCCUCUUUAAAUAGAAACCAAUUUUACCAAGUCUUCUUUGUGGGAAGUCUGGUGGGCUAACAAAUUAGAGGAGGCUAAACUUGCUACUUGUUGCUGGAGUUGGAGGAGAGAAAAUAUACAUUUUGGAUGCUUGUUGUGACUAUUUAAAGUUAUAUAAAAAACAUUUCAUACAAUGAGACUUUUUUGUGGCUGGUUCAAGGAAAUAGUGUAAAGUUGAAAUUAUCAUCAUCAUGGAUAUCGAAAGAUCAAAUGCAGGUUUCAUCAUCCAGGUGGGAUUUAAGUAUUUAACCGAGAAUUUAGUUUGGAUUUCUAAGCGUCAGAUAAUCCCAAGUGAGCUUACUCUAACCACAUUGUGGAUAACUCUCUUAUGAGAUUCUAAAAUGAAAAAUAAAAACUAAAAAAUAAAAAUAAUAUGUAAUUGAUUUAUUCUUAUAUAAUGAUGAAAAGGAGUGGUAUUUUUACUCA